rnacentral:rRNA from 1 species
UACGUAGGCAGCAAGCGUUGUUCGGAUUUACUGGGCGUAAAGGGUGUGUAGGCGGUUGCUUAAGUUUGGUGUGAAAUCUCCCGGCUCAACUGGGAGGGUGCGCCGAAUACUGAGUGACUCGAGUGCGGGAGAGGAGAGUGGAAUUCCUGGUGUAGCGGUGAAAUGCGUAGAUAUCAGGAGGAACACCGGUGGUGUAGACGGCUCUCUGGACCGUAACUGACGCUGAGACACGAAAGCGUGGGUAGCAAACAGG